rnacentral:rRNA from 1 species
CGUAGGGUGCGAGCGUUAAUCGGAAUUACUGGGCGUAAAGUGUGCGCAGGUGGCCGCGCAAGUCGAGUGUGAAAGCCCCGAGCUUAACUUGGGAAUUGCGCUCGAAACUACGUGGCUAGAGUGUGGCAGAGGAAGGUGGAAUUCCACGUGUAGCGGUGAAAUGCGUAGAGAUGUGGAGGAACACCGAUGGCGAAGGCAGCCUUCUGGGCCAACACUGACGCUCAUGCACGAAAGCGUGGGGAGCAAACAGGAUUAGAUACCCUGGUAGUCCACGCCCUAAACGAUGAUGACUAGUUGUUGGGGGAGUUAAAUCCCUUAGUAACGCAGCUAACGCGUGAAGUCAUCCGCCUGGGGAGUACGGUCGCAAGAUUA